AGUAUGUCUGGGAACUGCCUGAUGGAGGGGGAUAACUACUGGAAACGGUAGCUAAUACCGCAUAACGUCGCAAGACCAAAGAGGGGGACCUUCGGGCCUCUUGCCAUCGGAUGUGCCCAGAUGGGAUUAGCUUGUUGGUGGGGUAACGGCUCACCAAGGCGACGAUCCCUAGCUGGUCUGAGAGGAUGACCAGCCACACUGGAACUGAGACACGGUCCAGACUCCUACGGGAGGCAGCAGUGGGGAAUAUUGCACAAUGGGCGCAAGCCUGAUGCAGCCAUGCCGCGUGUAUGAAGAAGGCCUUCGGGUUGUAAAGUACUUUCAGCGGGGAGGAAGGGAGUAAAGUUAAUACCUUUGCUCAUUGACGUUACCCGCAGAAGAAGCACCGGCUAACUCCGUGCCAGCAGCCGCGGUAAUACGGAGGGUGCAAGCGUUAAUCGGAAUUACUGGGCGUAAAGCGCA
rnacentral:rRNA from 1 species